rnacentral:rRNA from 1 species
CGUGUAGGCGGUUUAAUAAGUCAGAUGUAAAGCCCCGGCUUAACCGGGGAUUGUCAUUUGAAACUGUUAGGCCUGAGUGCGAGAGAGGGUAGCGGAAUUCCCAGUGUAGCGGUGAAAUGCGUAGAUAUUGGGAAGAACACCAGUAGCGAAGGCGGCUACCUGGCUCGCAACUGACGCUAAGGCGCGAAAGCGUGGGGAGCAAACA